CAGCAGUGGGGAAUAUUGCACAAUGGGGGAAACCCUGAUGCAGCGACGCCGCGUGGAGGAAGAAGGUUUUCGGAUUGUAAACUCCUGUCGUUAGGGACGAUAAUGACGGUACCUAACAAGAAAGCACCGGCUAACUACGUGCCAGCAGCCGCGGUAAAACGUAGGGUGCAAGCGUUGUCCGGAAUUACUGGGUGUAAAGGGAGCGCAGGCGGACCGGCAAGUUGGAAGUGAAAACUAUGGGCUCAACCCAUAAAUUGCUUUCAAAACUGCUGGCCUUGAGUAGUGCAGAGGUAGGUGGAAUUCCCGGUGUAGCGGUGGAAUGCGUAGAUAUCGGGAGGAACACCAGUGGCGAAGGCGACCUACUGGGCACCAACUGACGCUGAGGCUCGAAAGCAUGGGUAGCAAACAGGAUUAGAUACCCUGGUAGUCCAUGCCGUAAACGAUGAUUACUAGGUGUUGGAGGAUUGACCCCUUCAGUGCCGCAGUUAACACAAUAAGUAAUCCACCUGGGGAGUACGACCGCAAGGUUGAAACUCAAAGGAAUUGACGGGGGCCCGCACAAGCAGUGGAGUAUGUGGUUUAAUUCGAAGCAACGCGAAGAACCUUACCAGGUCUUGACAUCCGAUGCAUAGCACAGAGAUGUGUGAAAUCCUUCGGGACAUCGAGACAGGUGGUGCAUGGUUGUCGUCAGCUCGUGUCGUGAGAUGUUGGGUUAAGUCCCGCAACGAGCGCAACCCUUAUUGCCAGUUACUACGUAAGAGGACUCUGGCGAGACUGCCGUUGACAAAACGGAGGAAGGUGGGGAUGACGUCAAAUCAUCAUGCCCUUUAUGACCUGGGCUACACACGUACUACAAUGGCGUUAAACAAAGAGAAGCAAGACCGCGAGGUGGAGCAAAACUCAAAAACAACGUCUCAGUUCAGAUUGCAGGCUGCAACUCGCCUGCAUGAAGUCGGAAUUGCUAGUAAUCGCGGAUCAGCAUGCCGCGGUGAAUACGUUCCCGGGCCUUGUACACACCGCCCGUCACACCAUGAGAGCCGGGGGGACCCGAAGUCGGUAGUCUAACCGCAAGGAGGACGCCGCCGAAGGUAAAACUGGUGAUUGGGGUGAAGUCGUAACAAGGUAGCCGUA
rnacentral:rRNA from 1 species